AACGUAGGUUCCGAGCGUUAUCCGGAUUUACUGGGCGUAAAGCGCGUUCAGGCGGUUUGGCAAGUCGGGCAUGAAAUCUCUCGGCUCAACCGGGAGAGGUUGUCCGAUACUUCCAGACUUGAGGGCAGUAGAGGGUGGUGGAACUCCUGGUGUAGCGGUGGAAUGCGCAGAUAUCAGGAAGAACACCAACGGCGAAGGCAGCUCGCUGGGACGGUACUGACGCUGAGACGCGAAAGCGUGGGGAGCGAACAGG
rnacentral:rRNA from 1 species